rnacentral:rRNA from 1 species
CCUACGGGAGGCAGCAGUGGGGAAUAUUGCACAAUGGGCGAAAGCCUGAUGCAGCAACGCCGCGUGAGCGAUGAAGGCCUUCGGGUCGUAAAGCUCUGUCCUCAAGGGAGUUAAUGACGUUACUUGAGGAGGAAGCCCCGGCUAACUACGUGCCAGCAGCCGCGGUAAUACGUAGGGAGCUAGCGUUAUCCGGAAUUACUGGGCGUAAAGGGUGAGUAGGUGGUUUCUUAGGUAAGAGGUGAAAGGCUACGGCUCAACCGGAGUAAGCCUUUGAAACGGGGGAACUUGAGUGCAGGAGAGGAGAGUGGAAUUCGUAGUGUAGCGGUGAAAUGCGUAGAUAUUAGGAGGAACACCAGUUGCGAAGGCGGCUCGCUGGACUGUAACUGACACUGAGGCACGAAAGCGUGGGUAGCAAACAGGAUUAGAUACCCGUGUAGUC